UUCGAUUCUGGCUCAGGAUGAACGCUAGCUACAGGCUUAACACAUGCAAGUCGAGGGGCAGCAGAUCGAAAGCUUGCUUCGAUGCUGGCGACCGGCGCACGGGUGAGUAACGCGUAUCCAACCUUCCCUAUAGUAGAGAAUAGCCCGGCGAAAGUCGGAUUAAUGCUCUAUGUUGUACUUAGAAGACAUCUGAAGAAUACCAAAGGUUUACCGCUAUAGGAUGGGGAUGCGUCUGAUUAGGUUGUUGGCGGGGUAACGGCCCACCAAGCCUACGAUCAGUAGGGGUUCUGAGAGGAAGGUCCCCCACAUUGGAACUGAGACACGGUCCAAACUCCUACGGGAGGCAGCAGUGAGGAAUAUUGGUCAAUGGACGAAAGUCUGAACCAGCCAAGUAGCGUGCCAGGAUGACGGCCCUAUGGGUUGUAAACUGCUUUUAUACAGGGAUAAAGUGAGGGACGUGUCCCUUCUUGUAGGUACUGUAUGAAUAAGGACCGGCUAAUUCCGUGCCAGCAGCAGC
rnacentral:rRNA from 1 species